AUGAAGGAAAUGAGUCUGCGGAUUCAGGAUCCCAAAAAACAAAAAUAUCAGAACGGUCAAAUUUACAGGAUCUAUUCGGGCCGGCUAAAUACCUCCGUCCCGCAAACCGGCAUUUAUUUUGCCGGAUUGACCGGUUUGCGGGAUCUGCAGAUACCAGAGAUGCUCUUACAACCCAUGUGCCGUGGACAGGAACACCUCGCUAGCAGGUCGCCUGGCUCGGAUCGUUUAACUUUUCUUUUUGAGAUCGAGAACUAUAGGCUCUCCUCAACCCUUACCCAUCGCUCAAUCCUCGCCUCUUCCUCCAUAUAUUAA
rnacentral:rRNA from 1 species